GGCUGAGAUUGGUGGAGGGGGAGUUGGAGUGAGAUUAAAACUGGGGAUUGAAAGAGGGAGCGAAACUUGAGACGUGGGUGGAAGGGAGGGAGACCGGAGAAGAAGCAUGACGGGAAGAAACCGACAGAGCUGGAGUGAAAUGUGAGAAUCUGGAUGCCCGGAAGGGAGGAGGAGCAAGACUGACGAGAGACCGUGCAAAGGGAACCGGAAGACUGCAGAGGCAGCAUGUGAGGGAAGAAGCUGCACGGAGCGAACAGUCAGCAGCACAGAGAAAGACCUUUUAAGUUAAAGCAGGGGCUGAGAGGGAGCUGAACAGCUGGAGUGUGCUAGCGGUCUCACCCUGGUGGUCAAGUGGCUUUGAGGGGCCAGCGGGGACGCCCGAAGUCCUGAUCCAAUUGCGCCAAUGCAAACUGCUCCUAUGGCGUGGGCAACGACUUACUUCUGGGUUUAUGCCGGCGGUGUGUGACAUCAUAACGCAGCAACGCAAAAUUCAAGUAUUUAAAGGGGCUUCGGGCUGGAAAUCAUUGCCGUUGGGCAGAAGACUGAGAAGCCUGAGAAGGGAUUGUUCUUACUCUGCAAUAUUGCACAAUAAGGAAACCUUUAACCAUAUAAUGAAGAAGGCAACAGCUCUGAUGAAAACAGAUCUCAAAUGAUUUAUUAUAGUGAAAUGACAACGGAUAAAAAAAUCAGAAGCCUGCGUUGCUUGUUUGCUGAACUCUAGAGCAAAAACCAAAGGAAGUGAUGAAAUCCAUCAUUCAUUCAUCAUCUACAUUUGAUAUACAGUAAACAUGUCACACCUGUGUA